rnacentral:rRNA from 1 species
UACGAAGGGGGCUAGCGUUGCUCGGAAUCACUGGGCGUAAAGCGCACGUAGGCGGGUCUUUAAGUCAGGGGUGAAAUCCUGGAGCUCAACUCCAGAACUGCCUUUGAUACUGAGGAUCUCGAGUCCUGGAGAGGAAGGUGGAAUGCUUGGUGUAGAGGUGAAAUUCGUAGAUAUCAAGCGGAACACCGGUGGCGAAGGCGGCCUUCUGGACAGUGACUGACGCUGAGACGCGAAAGCGUGGGGAGCAAACAGG